rnacentral:rRNA from 1 species
UACGGGGGGGGCGAAGCGUUUGUUCGGAAUUACUGGGGCGUAAAGGGCGCGUAGGCGGUUUGCUAAGUUGAAUGUGAAAACUCUGGGCUUAGCCCAGAGCCUGCAUUCAAUACUGGCAGGCUAGAGUUCUGGAGGGGAUAGCGGAAUUCCUGGUGUAGCGGUGAAAUGCGUAGAUAUCAGGAGGAACACCGGUGGCGAAGGCGGCUAUCUGGACAGAGUCUGACGCUGAGGCGCGAAAGCUAGGGGAGCAAACAGG